rnacentral:tRNA from 1 species
GCAGGGGCUGGUCGAGGGGGCGCCGCCGUCGUCGCUGGCGGGAGCACGGCUCGUGAUCGUCUCCAAGACCCUUGCC